rnacentral:rRNA from 1 species
UUUGCGAAAUGGGGUCAUAAAUCAGCUAUGGUUCCUUGGAUCAUAAUACACUACACGGAUAACUGUAGUAAUUCUAGAGCUAAUACGUGCCUCGAGGCCCUGAUCCGCAAGGUGAGGGGUGCAUUUAUUAGAUCUCAAGCCAAACGGUCUCGGCCGUGGUUUGUGAUGACUCUGGAUAACUCUGUAUGAUCGCAGCUGGCCUUGUUUGUCGGCGAUGGAUCCAUCAAAUAUCUGCCCUAUCAACUUUCGAUGGUAGGUGACCUGCCUACCAUGGUUAUGACGGGUAACGGGGAAUCAGGGUUCGAUUCCGGAGAGGGAGCCUGAGAAACGGCUACCACAUCCAAGGAAGGCAGCAGGCGCGCAAAUUACCCACUCUCUGAACGAGGAGGUAGUGAAGAUAAAUAUCGAUACAGGACUGAUUAAAGGCUCUGUAAUCGAAAUGAGUGCAUUUUAAAUCCUACAACGAGGAUCUAUUGGAGGGCAAGUCUGGUGCCAGCAGCCGCGGUAACUCCAGCUCCAAUAGCAUAUAUUAAAGUUGCUGCAGUUAAAAAGCUCGUAGUUGGAUCUGGGCUGCGUUGCGGGCGUCGGUCGUGUGGCUUGCACUCGUGUGAGCUCACAGGCUGUCGGUUUGCACGUGGCUUCACAGCUGUGUCCUGGUGUCUUCACGGUGCCAGGAUGGUGUUGGGUGUCUGCGGACGGCCCCCUUUCGAGGGCUGUCCCGACUCAGUACUAUGCUUCGUUGAUGCUCUUAACCGGGUGUCCGAAACUCACAGCACGUUUACUUGAACAAAUUGAGUGCUCAAAGCAGCGCGAAGGCC